rnacentral:rRNA from 1 species
UGUCUCCUUUCUCUAAUCAGUGAAACUGAUCUCUCCGUGAAGAAGCGGGGAUACUCCUAUAAGACGAAAAGACCCCAUGGAGCUUCAAACCCAACUACACCCUUAACUACCACAACCGCACAACCUCUUAGGGCCCUGUAUAGUUGGUUUUAGGUUGGGGCGACCACGGAGUACAACCAAACCUCCGCAAUGGACGGGACCACUCCCUUAUCUAAGAGCCACACCUCUAAGAAUUAAAACACUAACAUAAAAUGAUCCAUGAUCUGAUCAAUGAACCAAGUUACCCUGGGGAUAACAGCGCAAUCCAUUUCAAGAGCCCUUAUCGACAAGUGGGUUUACGACCUCGAUGUUGGAUCAGGGUAUCCUAGUGGUGCAGCAGCUACUAAUGGUUCGUUUGUUCAACGAUUAAAACCCU